AGUAACUCGAAUUAAGCUAUAAGCGUAAAAGGUGGAUUGGCAACGAGAAAGGGGGAAAAGAAAGGAAGGCGAGGCUAGGAAGAGGGGUGCAAUCUUUAUUCUUGAGUAAAGUGUAAACCUUCCUUUAGGCUGUUUCCACGGAACCGGUGGGAGGAGACAUGGAUUAGAGACCCAUUUAUUACCGAUGAAAACUUUGCUUCUCGUCGCUGCUUGGGUACUACGAGCAUGUGCUUAAAACUCAAAGAACUUGGCGGCUUGUUAACUACCUAGGGGAAUAUGUGCCUUAAUCCGAUAGUCCUCGACAUAUUUUACUGGGCCUUGAAAAACCAGUUGGUGUAUUGCCGUUGUCAGCUUGUUGUUGAGCAGAGAAAAACAGGCUAAAAGGAUUUGCCUGGGAGCAGGCGGAUUCCGUGAAUUCAGGUCGUAAUACUGCCUAUGGCUCUAGGGAGUGGGUGUUACAAUUUUUAAUUAGAAUACGAAUCUUUUUAUGAAAAAAAAGGUGAAGGUGAACUUAGGAGUAAGGGAAGAUUAAUAUGCUCCCCUGAACUUGAAUCUAGCUUGUGUACAAACUGCCCGUCGCUCUCGGUAAGAGCUGAGAUAAGUCGUAACAAGGUAGGGGU
rnacentral:rRNA from 1 species